rnacentral:lncRNA from 1 species
UGGCAUUGUAGGUUAGGUCAUGUUAAUAAGAAUAGAAUAAACAGGUUGACACAAGAGAAAAUCUUUGAAGUCAAUGAUUGUGAAUCACUCCUAAUCUGUGAGUCUUGUCUUCUUAAAAAAAUGACCUAAUCAUCUUUUACUAAAAAAGAUGAGCAAGCCAGUGAUGUUCUAGGUCUGAUACAACUAAUAUCUGUGGACCAAUGAAUACUAGUGCCAGAGGUGGAUAUUAUUAUUUCA